GACACACACUACAUAGAUAUAGGAAUCAAAAUUCAAUCACGGACUCCAUUUAAUGGGUGUGUGUUGCCUUUAUGAUAUAGGGGCUAAAGGAUCGAGCAUGUGAAGUGAUAUCUAAGUUUGCAUUAUAACCAGACGACAAAAAACACCCAAAAAUUAUUGAAUUGCAGGUCACGAGAGACAGUAACCAUUAGCUAAAAAUCUAAUGAAAAGUUUAUGAAACUAUCCCAAAAAAGGGAGGAUACGGAAGGAUAAAUAAUCUUGUUUAACACGGUAUCUCCUUGCACGGUGUAGUUUCUUUGGUUUCCUGGAACACAACCAUCGCCUGGUAAGAAAAAAAUCAUGGAGGAUAAGACAAUGAAGAUCGUCUCAAAUCAUGUUCAAGAAAAAAUAUUAACUAUAUAUUUAACAGUGAAAUGAAAUAAUUUUAAAAGUUAAUAGUUUUAUAAUCAUAUAUAUUUGAGGUUUUUCUUCGAAUUAUAAAUUAUAUUUAUAAGAAUACAUUAAAAAUUGAAAUUUUAAACCAAAUUUAUAUAUUUAGUUUGAAUUUUUUUUUAAUAUAUUUUUAUUUUUAGAUUCGAGUCUUGUUCGACCGCUCCACUAACACGUGCUAUUAGACGAUCCUGGUUCCAGGUGGUUCCAGGUGGAGGUGGUGGGUAUAAGACAAGAUUCACGUACAAAUGAGAAAGAGCAAUAGUCAAUUCGUGAGGAGGUGCAUUGAGGGUGUAUUCUCAAACAGAGAUAUGGAACGUGUCAAAAAUUAGUUUCAACUUUCAAGUUAGGUUCUAAACCAGCUAGUAAACCCUAAACCACUAUGUUGAGCAGAGUAUAGCCAGUCCAUGCAACAAGCCUUGAUAAUUUACGGUUUGAUCAUAGUACCGUGGCAAUUUUUUUAUAGAAAAUCAAACAGAUAGUUGAAGCCGGAUACCUUGAGGUGAGACAAGAGCUUAGUGCAGGUAGGUAGGUAGGGUAUCGAAAUCCAUCCCCGCCUGGCCGCCUUGAACCCCUCUCGAACUGCUGCUAGACCUCCGUUAGUUGUGGUUCUUGUGGAAUCCAUCUCUUCCUCCCAGAGUCGAUGUGAAUGAAUAUAAAAUAAUUACUCUUUGCCUUUUUUUUCUCUAUU
rnacentral:lncRNA from 1 species